rnacentral:rRNA from 1 species
CAGCAGCCGCGGUAAUACGGAGGGCGCGAGCGUUGUCCGGAUUCACUGGGCGUAAAGCGGGUGUAGGCGGUUGGGCAAGUCGGACGUGAAAGCCCGGGGCUCAACCCCGGAAGGGCGUCCGAAACUGCUCAACUUGAGGACGGGAGAGGGAGGUGGAAUUCCCGGUGUAGCGGUGAAAUGCGUAGAUAUCGGCAGGAACGCCGGUGGGGAAGCCGGUCUCCUGGGCCGCGCCCGACGCUGAGGCCCGAAAGCUAGGGGAGCAAACCGGAUUAGAUACCCGGGUAGUCCUAGCCGUAAACGAUGCCCACUAGGUGUGGGGGAGUAUUUCCUCCGUGCUGUAGCUAACGCGUUAAGUGGGCCGCCUGGGGAGUACGCCCGCAAGGGUGAAACUUAAAGGAAUUGGCGGG